rnacentral:rRNA from 1 species
CUUUACUAUAGCUUUGCACUGGACUUUGACCCGAUUUGUGUAGGAUAGGUGGGAGGUGAUGAUCGCGUGGCGCUAGUUACGCGGGAGCCGCUGUUGAAAUACCACCCUGAUCGUGUUGAGGUUCUAACCUACUGCCUGAAACGGGCAGGGGGACAGUGUAUGGUGGGUAGUUUGACUGGGGCGGUCUCCUCCCAAAGAGUAACGGAGGAGCACAAAGGUACCCUCGGCGCGGUCGGACAUCGCGCUGUGAGUGUAAUGGCACAAGGGUGCUUGACUGCGAGACUGACAGGUCGAGCAGGAGCGAAAGCUGGUCAUAGUGAUCCGGUGGUUCUGAAUGGAAGGGCCAUCGCUCAACGGAUAAAAGGUA